ACUGCGCGAGCAGGAGCAAAUCCACAAAGCCAUUCUCAGUUCGGAUCGGAGUCUGCAACUCGACUUCAUGAAGGUGGAAUCGCUAGUAAUCGCGUAUCAGCAAUGACGCGGUGAAUACGUUCCCGGGCCUUGUACACACCGCCCGUCAAGCGAUGGAAGUCAGGAGUACCUGAUGUCGCCCCGGUAAGGGGUGCCUAGGGUAAGCCUGGUAACUGGCGCUAAGUCGUAACAAGGUAGCCGUACCGGAAGGUGCGGCUGGAUCACCUCCUUU
rnacentral:rRNA from 1 species